GGGUUGUGAGGUUAAGCGACUAAGCGUACACGGUGGAUGCCCUGGCAGUCAGAGGCGAUGAAGGACGUGCUAAUCUGCGAUAAGCGUCGGUAAGGUGAUAUGAACCGUUAUAACCGGCGAUUUCCGAAUGGGGAAACCCAGUGUGAUUCGUCACACUAUCAUUAACUGAAUCCAUAGGUUAAUGAGGCGAACCGGGGGAACUGAAACAUCUAAGUACCCCGAGGAAAAGAAAUCAACCGAGAUUCCCCCAGUAGCGGCGAGCGAACGGGGAGCAGCCCAGAGCCUGAAUCAGUGUGUGUGUUAGUGGAAGCGUCUGGAAAGGCGUGCGAUACAGGGUGACAGCCCCGUACACAAAAAUGCACAUAUUGUGAGCUCGAUGAGUAGGGCGGGACACGUGGUAUCCUGUCUGAAUAUGGGGGGACCAUCCUCCAAGGCUAAAUACUCCUGACUGACCGAUAGUGAACCAGUACCGUGAGGGAAAGGCGAAAAGAACCCCGGCGAGGGGAGUGAAAAAGAACCUGAAACCGUGUACGUACAAGCAGUGGGAGCACGCUUAGGCGUGUGACUGCGUACCUUUUGUAUAAUGGGUCAGCGACUUAUAUUCUGUAGCAAGGUUAACCGAAUAGGGGAGCCGAAGGGAAACCGAGUCUUAACUGGGCGUUAAGUUGCAGGGUAUAGACCCGAAACCCGGUGAUCUAGCCAUGGGCAGGUUGAAGGUUGGGUAACACUAACUGGAGGACCGAACCGACUAAUGUUGAAAAAUUAGCGGAUGACUUGUGGCUGGGGGUGAAAGGCCAAUCAAACCGGGAGAUAGCUGGUUCUCCCCGAAAGCUAUUUAGGUAGCGCCUCGUGAAUUCAUCUCCGGGGGUAGAGCACUGUUUCGGCAAGGGGGUCAUCCCGACUUACCAACCCGAUGCAAACUGCGAAUACCGGAGAAUGUUAUCACGGGAGACACACGGCGGGUGCUAACGUCCGUCGUGAAGAGGGAAACAACCCAGACCGCCAGCUAAGGUCCCAAAGUCAUGGUUAAGUGGGAAACGAUGUGGGAAGGCCCAGACAGCCAGGAUGUUGGCUUAGAAGCAGCCAUCAUUUAAAGAAAGCGUAAUAGCUCACUGGUCGAGUCGGCCUGCGCGGAAGAUGUAACGGGGCUAAACCAUGCACCGAAGCUGCGGCAGCGACGCUUAUGCGUUGUUGGGUAGGGGAGCGUUCUGUAAGCCUGUGAAGGUGUACUGUGAGGUAUGCUGGAGGUAUCAGAAGUGCGAAUGCUGACAUAAGUAACGAUAAAGCGGGUGAAAAGCCCGCUCGCCGGAAGACCAAGGGUUCCUGUCCAACGUUAAUCGGGGCAGGGUGAGUCGACCCCUAAGGCGAGGCCGAAAGGCGUAGUCGAUGGGAAACAGGUUAAUAUUCCUGUACUUGGUGUUACUGCGAAGGGGGGACGGAGAAGGCUAUGUUGGCCGGGCGACGGUUGUCCCGGUUUAAGCGUGUAGGCUGGUUUUCCAGGCAAAUCCGGAAAAC
rnacentral:rRNA from 1 species